AGAGGAACGCCUAAGAAAGGAUGCGCACGAGUGUGAUUCGUUAGGAUCUUAGGCUACAAAAAAGCGAUCAUUUUUGGAAAAAAUAUCUAUCGCCCACCUUUAAUCAGAUCUGUCUCAAUACGAGGUCGUGUAAUUUUGUCAUGUUAUCCUCCACGCUCAUCGCGAUCUCAGGGCGCCUGGGCAUGAACUAAGGACUAGAGUCACUGAAGGAUACUGCGCGUAAAAAUGCGUACUACGUUGAAUUGACGCAAUUGGGCGUUUUUUAUAAUAGCGGUCAUCAGAAAAGAUCAGAAUUUAUUCAUCAACCAAAAAAAAAGACAUCGCUUUUACAGAGUGUCAUGGGUUCACUUAAGAAAGAGCAUAGCACUACAACAGGCAUCAGCGAUGAGCAUAUUUACAGCCGCAAACACCGAACACCAUGAAACUGUUGUUGUUGGCUUCAUUCGAAUUAAACUACAAUUAACCUCAGAUAAGUAAGG